rfam:Rhizobium sp. AC27/96 AS1I6_20, whole genome shotgun sequence.
CGUCAAGAGUUCUUUGGCACCGUUUUGGUGAGCGCGUUUCUUUUGCCUGCUGAAAGGUGAGAGACGAUG